rnacentral:rRNA from 1 species
CCUACGGGAGGCAGCAGUAAGGAAUAUUGGUCAAUGGAGGCAACUCUGAACCAGCCAUGCCGCGUGCAGGAAGACUGCCCUAUGGGUUGUAAACUGCUUUUAUCCGGGAAUAAACCUGCUUACGUGUAAGUAGCUGAAUGUACCGGAAGAAUAAGGAUCGGCUAACUCCGUGCCAGCAGCCGCGGUAAUACGGAGGAUCCAAGCGUUAUCCGGAUUUAUUGGGUUUAAAGGGUGCGUAGGCGGCCUGUUAAGUCAGGGGUGAAAGACGGUAGCUCAACUAUCGCAGUGCCCUUGAUACUGAUGGGCUUGAAUGGACUAGAGGUAGGCGGAAUGAGACAAGUAGCGGUGAAAUGCAUAGAUAUGUCUCAGAACACCGAUUGCGAAGGCAGCUUACUAUGGUCUUAUUGACGCUGAGGCACGAAAGCGUGGGGAUCAAACAGGAUUAGAUACCCUGGUAGUCCACGCCCUAAACGAUGAACACUCGCUGUUGGCGAUACACAGUCAGCGGCUAAGCGAAAGCGUUAAGUGUUCCACCUGGGGAGUCGCCCGCAAGGGUGAAACUCAAAUGAAUUGAGNGNGAGAGNGCGAGGACGACGACGAGGGAGAGG